UGGGUUGUAGCUCAGUGAUAGAGUGUGUACUUAGCAUGUGCAAGGUCCUAGGUUCAAUCUCCAGCACCAA
rnacentral:tRNA from 1 species